UAGAUACUGACCGACGUUUCAAAAGUGUUUCCUGCCUACAUCGUGAGGACGACAACAUCAUAGGAAACGGCCAUAUUCAAACUUGUCGAAUGUUCUAGCAACACAGAUGGACGUAUCUGCACCAAUCCCCCCCACAACCUGAGUUGGUUGCCAAUACGAUUUCAUAGAAGAAAGGAAAGAGAAAUGGUCGAGAAAAGCGAGGGGAGAUUUUGAGAAGGAUGUGGAGAAAAGUUGGACAAAGGAGGCUGCGAGAUAAGUUUUAGUCAGCUCAGUCCCACUACAGUGACUGGCUGCGAAGUGGAAACGCGGGAUUCGAACCCCUAUAGAUUCAACGCGUCCGGACCGACUCAGGGGCCCACCCAGUGUCCUAUGAAAUGGGCACUGAUGACUCUUUCUCCGGGAGUGAAGAUGACGUACACCCAGUUGUCAAAGUAAAGAAUACGUGGAUCUGUACUUCCAUUUCUCCAUGGCGUUGUACUUGUGCACGAAGGUAGCUUCACCUUUCGUACGUAAGUCAGUACAAACUGCGUGUGAUUUUCUGCACAGGCGCGAAAUUGUCAGGUACAGACAACGAGCGUUCUGUGUCUGCGGUCGCAACAAAAAACACGGAACGGUGGCGACCUAAAUGUUCAGCAUCCAACUUGAAUGCAAGCGGGUAAUUGGAGGUCUGUUGAAAAGAGGAUCCGCUGUGCGGUGGUGGUCAUUUGCACAAACAAUCAGUCCAGAAUGCCACUUUGGCCAAUGCCAAAGAAGAGCAACGUGUUUUACUUGAAGACUGGAUGGAACUGUUCCGAAACAAAGCCACAAUUAAAAAAAACGUUGAUCAUCGGAAUUAUUUAUAAAGCUAAUAGGCAUACCAGAAGACAACCAUAUUACUAUUAUUAUUAACUUUAAAGAAUAUGUAUUGGCUGUUGUAAUGAAUGUAGUCUGUAACCCAAAUUUCUAAGCAUCAAAAUAUAAAG